UGCCGUGCAAACGGAGGAAGUGGGGAUGACGUCAAAUCAUCAUGCCCCUUAUGUUCUGGGCUACACACGUGCUACAAUGCCGGUACAGACGGACGCAAAGCCGCGAGGUGGAGCAAAUCCUAAAAAGCCGGUCUCAGUUCGGAUUGCAGGCUGCAAUUCGCCUGCAUGAAGUCGGAAUCGCUAGUAAUCGCAGGUCAGCAUACUGCGGUGAAUACGUUCCCGGGCCUU
rnacentral:rRNA from 1 species